rnacentral:rRNA from 1 species
UACGUAGGUGACAAGCGUUGUCCGGAUUUACUGGGCGUAAAGAGCGCGCAGGCGGUCGAUCAAGUCGAGUGUGAAAACUCCAGGCUCAACUUGGAGAUGCCACCCGAUACUGCUCUGACUUGAGUUCGGUAGGGGAGUGGGGAAUUCCUGGUGUAGCGGUGAAAUGCGCAGAUAUCAGGAGGAACACCGGUGGCGAAGGCGCCACUCUGGGCCGAAACUGACGCUGAGGAGCGAAAGCGUGGGUAGCAAACAGG